rnacentral:rRNA from 1 species
CCUACGGGGAGCAGCAGUGGGGAAUAUUGGACAAUGGGCGAAAGCCUGAUCCAGCCAUGCCGCGUGUGUGAAGAAGGCCUUCGGGUUGUAAAGCACUUUCAGUGGGGAAGAAAGCCUUGGGGCUAAUACCCUCGAGGAAGGACAUCACCCACACAAGAAGCACCGGCUAACUCCGUGCCAGCAGCCGCGGUAAUACGGAGGGUGCGAGCGUUAAUCGGAAUUACUUGGCGUAAAGCGCGCGUAGGCGGUCUGAUAAGCCGGUUGUGAAAGCCCCGGGCCCAACCUGGGAACGGCAUCCGGAACUGUCAGGCUAGAGUGCAGGAGAGGAAGGUAGAAUUCCCGGUGUAGCGGUGAAAUGCGUAGAGAUCGGGAGGAAUACCAGUGGCGAAGGCGGCCUUCUGGACUGACACUGACGCUGAGGUGCGAAAGCGUGGGUAGCAAACAGGAUUAGAUACCCUUGUAGUC